UACGUAGGGUGCAAGCGUUGUCCGGAAUUAUUGGGCGUAAAGAGCUCGUAGGCGGUUUGUCGCGUCUGCUGUGAAAACCCGAGGCUCAACCUCGGGCCUGCAGUGGGUACGGGCAGACUAGAGUGCGGUAGGGGAGAUUGGAAUUCCUGGUGUAGCGGUGGAAUGCGCAGAUAUCAGGAGGAACACCAAUGGCGAAGGCAGCUCGCUGGGACGGUACUGACACUGAGACGCGAAAGCGUGGGGAGCAAACAGG
rnacentral:rRNA from 1 species